GAGACAGCAGUAGCCGCGGUAAUACAGAGGGUGCGAGCGUUAAUCGGAUUUACUGGGCGUAAAGCGUGCGUAGGCGGCUUCUUAAGUCGGAUGUGAAAUCCCUGAGCUUAACUUAGGAAUUGCAUUCGAUACUGGGAAGAUAGAGUAUGGGAGAGGAUGGUAGAAUUCCAGGUGUAGCGGUGAAAUGCGUAGAGAUCUGGAGGAAUACCGAUGGCGAAGGCAGCCAUCUGGCCUAAUACUGACGCUGAGGUACGAAAGCAUGGGGAGCAAACAGGAUUAGAUACCCGCGUAGUCCCUGUCUCUUAUAC
rnacentral:rRNA from 1 species